AUUGAACGCUGGCGGCAGGCCUAACACAUGCAAGUCGGACGGUAGCACAGAGGAGCUUGCUCCUUGGGUGACGAGUGGCGGACGGGUGAGUAAUGUCUGGGGAUCUGCCCGAUAGAGGGGGAUAACCACUGGAAACGGUGGCUAAUACCGCAUAACGUCGCAAGACCAAAGAGGGGGACCUUCGGGCCUCUCACUAUCGGAUGAACCCAGAUGGGAUUAGCUAGUAGGCGGGGUAAUGGCCCACCUAGGCGACGAUCCCUAGCUGGUCUGAGAGGAUGACCAGCCACACUGGAACUGAGACACGGUCCAGACUCCUACGGGAGGCAGCAGUGGGGAAUAUUGCACAAUGGGCGCAAGCCUGAUGCAGCCAUGCCGCGUGUAUGAAGAAGGCCUUCGGGUUGUAAAGUACUUUCAGCGGGGAGGAAGGCGAUGCGGUUAAUAACCGCGUCGAUUGACGUUACCCGCAGAAGAAGCACCGGCUAACUCCGUGCCAGCAGCCGCGGUAAUACGGAGGGUGCAAGCGUUAAUCGGAAUUACUGGGCGUAAAGCGCACGCAGGCGGUCUGUUAAGUCAGAUGUGAAAUCCCCGGGCUUAACCUGGGAACUGCAUUUGAAACUGGCAGGCUUGAGUCUUGUAGAGGGGGGUAGAAUUCCAGGU
rnacentral:rRNA from 1 species